UACGGAGGGUGCAAGCGUUGUUCGGAAUCAUUGGGCGUAAAGCGCGUGUAGGCGGUUGCCUAAGUCUGGUGUGAAAUCCCGGAGCUUAACUCCGGAAGUGCACUGGAUACUGGGUGACUAGAGGACGAGAGAGGAGAGUGGAAUUCCUGGUGUAGGGGUGAAAUCCGUAGAUAUCAGGAGGAACAUCAGAGGCGAAGGCGACUCUCUGGCUCGUAUCUGACGCUGAGACGCGAAAGCGUGGGGAGCAAACAGG
rnacentral:rRNA from 1 species